rnacentral:rRNA from 1 species
UACGAAGGUGGCAAGCGUUACUCGGAAUUACUAGGCGUAAAGGGCAGGUAGGUGGUUCGGUAAGUCUGUUGUGAAAGCUCCUGGCUUAACUGGGAGAGGUCAACAGAAACUACCGGGCUUGAGUAUAGGAGAGGGUACUGGAAUUCCCGGUGUAGCGGUGAAAUGCGCAGAGAUCGGGAGGAACACCAAUGGCGAAAGCAAUCCCCUGGGCCUGCACUGACGCUCAUGCACGAAAGCGUGGGGAGCAAACAGG